rnacentral:tRNA from 1 species
GCCCACGUAGCUCAGUGAAUAGAGCAGGCGGCUUCUAUCCGUCGUGUCGGGGGUUUGAAUCCUCCCGUGGGCGCCA